rnacentral:rRNA from 1 species
UACGAACUGUGCGAACGUUAUUCGGAAUCACUGGGCUUAAAGGGUGCGUAGGCGGUUAUCUAAGUCAGGUGUGAAAUCUUUCGGCUCAACCGGAAAACUGCGCUUGAUACUGGAUGACUUGAGUGAGGUAGGGGUGUGUGGAACUUCCGGUGGAGCGGUGAAAUGUGUAGAUAUCGGAAGGAACGCCAGCAGCGAGAGCGGCACACUGGGCCUUUUCUGACGCUGAGGCACGAAAGCUAGGGGAGCGAACGGG